AAUAGAUACCCGGGUAGUCCACGCCGUAAACGAUGAGUGCUAAGUGUUGGGGGGUUUCCGCCCCUCAGUGCUGCAGCUAACGCAUUAAGCACUCCGCCUGGGGAGUACGGUCGCAAGACUGAAACUCAAAGGAAUUGACGGGGGCCCGCACAAGCGGUGGAGCAUGUGGUUUAAUUCGAAGCAACGCGAAGAACCUUACCAGGUCUUGACAUCCCGGUGACCACUAUGGAGACAUAGUUUCCCCUUCGGGGGCAACGGUGACAGGUGGUGCAUGGUUGUCGUCAGCUCGUGUCGUGAGAUGUUGGGUUAAGUCCCGCAACGAGCGCAACCCUUAUUCUUAGUUGCCAUCAUUCAGUUGGGCACUCUAAGGAGACUGCCGGUGAUAAACCGGAGGAAGGUGGGGAUGACGUCAAAUCAUCAUGCCCCUUAUGACCUGGGCUACACACGUGCUACAAUGGACGGUACAAACGGUUGCCAACCCGCGAGGGGAGCUAAUCCGAUAAAACCGUUCUCAGUUCGGAUUGUAGGCUGCAACUCGCCUACA
rnacentral:rRNA from 1 species